UCCUGUUUUAUUUAUCCAUUAUUUUAUUAUGCAUUUUUAUACAUGCUCUUUUUGUAGCCUACAUACCUUAUUACCACUUGAGUGUAUUUACUGUAUAUGAUGUUAGUUUGACUGAACAAACCAUGGAAACAUGCAUAAAUCUGAGUGUGAAUGUAUAUUUGCACAGGAGGAUAAAUUGCCAGUUGUUUUUUCAAAACUAUUUAUUUUACAGUUGUGCAGCUUCCACAGCCCUCCGGCAUGUAACAUUUCACUCUUGCUGUUUCCAUUGCAGAUUAAUUAGAUGCCGAAUCUUGAUUUCACAGUUCAGCUUUAAUUCAAUUACAUUCGAGCUCCUCACUACAGGAGCUCAGGUGAAGUCUUUUCCACUCUUGGGACGCAUGAUUUCCAUUUAGGAUUUGUGUGUGUGUGUGUGUGUGUGUGUGUGUGUGUGUGUGUGUGUGCGCGCGCGCGCGCGUGUGUUUGUGUGCGUGUGUGUGUGUGUGUGUAUGAGGUGUUUCCUCGGUCAGAUUAAAAUAGCAUAAAAUUGCACUGGUUUAUUCCUACAGUAAUCAAGCCUGAUUCCUUAAAUAGAAACCCAGGUGCUUUCCAUCGAUGUAGCCUAUAUUCUCAGCCUUCGUAUGUUUUAUUCAUAUGCAUCCUUAACCUUCAUAUAAUGUAAUUUGGGCCGCACCCUUAACAAGGUCUGAAAAAAAUCCGCGUCCAUUGGCCUCCUCUCGCGGUCGUCACUCCACAGCGACCCGCCUCCUCCUUGUCUUCUCCCGAGCAGCAGACGUAUAUAAACACACGGCUCCGUCUCCCUCCAGCCUACCCAGUAACAUCACGAUGUAACCAUUACGUGGAGCUCAGAUAUGGGAGGGCGCACAGGCACCGACUGUGGCUGAAAAAACCCAACAGUGAAAGAGACGUCGGCGUCACCUGUUGUUCCCGUCGAUACACGGUGAGUCCAUCACUUCCAGCCUUUAACCUGGGUGAUUUCUGAAGAGAAUGCAGAGUUAGGAGGUUUAUUUUUGCAGCACAUCAAUAUGUUUCCAUUGCCCUCACGUUGCCUUUCCUUCUUUUAUGAUUUUUUUUUUUUAUUUUGCACUUCAGCGUGGAGUGAAAAGCCUUGAUGAAGCAAAAAGCCCUCGAGCCAUACAAGAAAAAGCAAAAAUAGCUGCUUAAAUCCCGACUGCGUCUGAGGGAAAUUAAAUGACAACCUCUUCCUCCUCUUCCUGCCUCGCCUGCGGGUGGACGGGGGGUGGGGGUUCGGGAGAGCGGGGGGUGGGGGGGCGAAUGUUUAUCAUGUCGUCAUGUUGCCGUGAUUUGAGACAGAAAAGGUAGCUGAGCUUACUUUGCGCCAGGACCAGGGUCGCCACAGAUCAUAUAUGUCACAUAUCAGACGCGGUUCGGGUUUGUAACCUCCAGAGAGAAAACUUCGGUGCAGCAACAGGUGGCAUGUUUUUCCCGGGCCGGAAUCGAGGCGAGAUGCUGAGGAGGAGAUGGACGCGGAGGAAAGUAGGGCGUCAUUCAGCACCGAGACACUGGACAGCUCCCACGUCGAGGGCUACUCACUUCCAUUGAGCUGCGAUCUGGACGGAAUAACAGAUUGAAGCAGUGGACGAGGACAGAAAGGAGGGGAUAAAGAGGGAAAGUGUUGGUAGUGCUGAGUGGAAGACUAGUGAUUUUGUUGUGACGCUGAUCAAAGAACAACAAGUCCCAGUCUGCCUCUCAGCACAAGCAGUGUCCUUCAGUGUCCAUCAGCUUUAACCUGGAUGUAUCUACAAUUCAGAAUCUGUUCACUGUUUCUAUGUUGAAUUUUCCUGUUUUUAUGAAACCUGCCCUUUAAAACGCACUCAAAGUGUUCUGAUUCAGCCCUGGUGUGACUAUAUGUAGCCUUAAUGUAAAAGCAUCAUUUAACCAGGGAUGUUCAUUGAACUGAAUCAUGCACAAUGAAAACUGCUCCAAAACCUGUUGUGCAAUAAUGUUAUAGUGACAUACAGCAGCACACCUUGGUCAAAAAAGACUUAAAUAAUCCAGUUUUACUGAUUUGAGUUAAUUCCGAAAUGCUUAUUGUUCAUUCAUUCAUCUGCAUUGGAGCUUACAGAGUGUCUAGCAUUUUAUGUAGGUGGAAUAAAACUUGAAUGUAAACCUCU